rnacentral:misc_RNA from 1 species
AACGCACCUUGCGCUCUUGGGUUAUUCCUAGGAGCAUGUUCGUUUGAGUGUCGCGUAACCUCUCAACCCCGCUUUCAUUGACUUGGAAGUAGCUUAGGGUUGGAUCAUGACGCCCUGUUUCACAAUCGAAACUGCGUUGAAAUGCAACAAGCUGUACCUUUGCUACUUAGCGGCUUGACCCGUUGUCAUAAGAUUAAUUUCCUUCAAUGGGGACGCUUCGUGGCACGUAAGGAUGGGCUUACCGUAAAUUGAUUAAUCAUUACUUUGACCUCAAAUCGAGCAGGACUACCCCCUGAACUUAA